UACGUAGGGUGCAAGCGUUGUCCGGAAUUAUUGGGCGUAAAGAGCUCGUAGGCGGUUUGUCGCGUCGAAUGUGAAAACCCGGGGCUCAACCCCGGGCCUGCAUUCGAUACGGGCAGACUAGAGUUCGGUAGGGGAGUCUGGAAUUCCUGGUGUAGCGGUGGAAUGCGCAGAUAUCAGGAGGAACACCAAUAGCGAAGGCAGCUCGCUGGGACGUUACUGACACUGAGGCGCGAAAGCGUGGGGAGCGAACAGG
rnacentral:rRNA from 1 species